rnacentral:rRNA from 1 species
CCUACGGGUGGCUGCAGUGGGGAAUAUUGGACAAUGGGCGAAAGCCUGAUCCAGCAAUACCGCGUGUGUGAAGAAGGCCUGAGGGUUGUAAAGCACUUUCAAUGGGAAGGAAUACCUACCGGCUAAUACCCGGUAGACUGACAUUACCCAUACAAGAAGCACCGGCUAACUCCGUGCCAGCAGCCGCGGUAGUACGGAGGGUGCAAGCGUUAGUCGGAAUUACUGGGCGUAGGCCUGGCCAGGCAGAUGUGAAAGCCCUGGGCUUAACCUGGGAACUGCAUUUGAUACUGGCAGGCUAGAGUUUAGUAGAGGGGAGUGGAAUUUCAGGUGUAGCGGUGAAAUGCGUAGAGAUCUGAAGGAACACCAGUGGCGAAGGCGGCUCCCUGGACUAAAACUGACGCUGAGGUACGAAAGCGUGGGUAGCAAACAGGAUUAGAUACCCGUGUAGUC